rnacentral:misc_RNA from 1 species
UCUCCGUAGGUGAACCUGCGGAGGGAUCAUUACUGAGUGAGGGUCUCCGGGUCCGACCUCCAACCCUUUGUGAACACAACUUGUUGCUUCGGGGGCGACCCUGCCGUUUCGACGGCGAGCGCCCCCGGAGGCCUUCAAACACUGCAUCUUUGCGUCGGAGUUUAAGUAAAUUAAACAAAACUUUCAACAACGGAUCUCUUGGUUCUGGCAUCGAUGAAGAACGAGC